rnacentral:rRNA from 1 species
UACGUAGGGUGCAAGCGUUAAUCGGAAUUACUGGGCGUAAAGCGUGCGCAGGCGGUUUUGUAAGUCUGUCGUGAAAGCCCCGGGCUCAACCUGGGAAUUGCGAUGGAGACUGCAAGGCUUGAAUCUGGCAGAGGGGGGUAGAAUUCCACGUGUAGCAGUGAAAUGCGUAGAGAUGUGGAGGAACACCGAUGGCGAAGGCAGCCCCCUG